UUCGGGUUUUUAUGGUCAUUUUCGUUCACCUUUCUUUAUAAUUCCGAUUAAAGCAAAACAGAAAAGAAAAAGAAAAAAAAAACAAAAUCUGACCACAAUAAUGGCGAGCAACGAAGAAUUCUCUGAAGAUUUAAACUCUAAUGGAAUAGACUCAUUUGAUGCUGUCAAACAACGUUUCAAGGAUCGAUCAAAGAAAGUUGUGCAGACAAGAGAGUUGCUGUCUAAACAAGCGGUGCAAACGCGUGAGAUCUUAUC